UAUUCAGNCUCGUAGGUGACCUGCGGAGGGUCAUUACACAACGAAAAUAUGAAGGCUUUGGCUUCGCGGCCGGCUGAAAUAUUUUUUUCACCCAUGUCUUUUGCGCACUUGUUGUUUCCUGGGCGGGUUCGCCCGCCACCAGGACCAAACCAUAAACCUUUUUUUUAAUGCAGUUGCAAUCAGCGUCAGUAAAAAACAAUGUAAUUAUUACAACUUUCAACAACGGAUCUCUUGGUUCUGGCAUCGAUGAAGAACGCAGCGAAAUGCGAUACGUAGUGUGAAUUGCAGAAUUCAGUGAAUCAUCGAAUCUUUGAACGCACAUUGCGCCCUUUGGUAUUCCAAAGGGCAUGCCUGUUCGAGCGUCAUUUGUACCUUCAAGCUUUGCUUGGUGUUGGGCGUUUUUUGUCUCCCUCUUGCUGGGAGACUCGCCUUAAAACGAUUGGCAGCCGGCCUACUGGUUUCGGAGCGCAGCACAUAUUUUGCACUCUGUGUCAGGAGAAAAGGACGGUAAUCCAUCAAGACUCUACAAAUUUUAACUUUUGACCUCGGAUCAGGUAGGGAUACCCGCUGAACUUAAGCAUACAUAANNGGGGGAGGAAA
rnacentral:rRNA from 1 species